AUGCUCGGCUUCAACCGUAACCAAGAAAGGAUCCACAUUCUCAAAGAUGUCACCGGCAUUCUCAAACCUUCCCGGAUGACCCUUCUCCUUGGACCCCCAGGCUGUGGCAAAACCACCCUUUUGCUAGCACUUGCUGGAAAGCUCAACAAAAGUCUCAAGGUAACAGGAGAAAUCGACUACAAUGGUGUCAAGCUGCAAGAUUUUGUUCCAGAGAAGACAGCAGCGUACAUUGGUCAGUAUGAUCUUCAUGUCCCUGAGAUGACUGUCAGGGAGACGCUUGACUUCUCUGCAAGAUUCCAGGGAGUUGGCAGCAGAGCAGAAAUCAUGAAGGAAGUCAUUAGAAGGGAGAAGGAGGCUGGGAUCAUCCCUGACCCCAACAUAGAUACAUAUAUGAAGGCAAUAUCUGUGGAUGGUUUAGAAAAAAGCAUCCAAACAGACUACAUUAUGAAGAUAAUGGGACUUGACAUAUGCGCUGAUGUACUAGUAGGAGAUGCCAUGAGAAGAGGUAUUUCAGGCGGUGAGAAGAAAAGACUAACGACAGGACAAAUCGUAUACCAUGGUCCGAAGAGCUGCAUUAUGAGUUUCUUUGAAUCUUGUGGCUUUAAGUGCCCCGGAAGAAAAGGGGAUGCUGACUUCCUUCAAGAGGAUUCUAAAAACGUAGGAAUAGGAAAACCCAAAUGA
rnacentral:rRNA from 1 species